ACUUGGAGCCCGAGCUCCCGGGCUGGAGGCGCGCCGGCCCCGGGGACGUCACAGCGCUGGAAUCCGAGGAAUGCCGGCGGCAGGAGCUCCGUGUGCGGCCCGCGAGCAGUCGCGCACUUUUGGUGCGGUGGCUUUGGGAAAUGUUUAAAGGCUGAAAAGGGGCCUUGGAGUCAUUGUCACAGAAGAUGUCCCAGAUUGCUUCAGAGUCCCACGGCUCAACAAAAAUCUGGAUCUCUCGGGGAAGAGAGCUGGAAGCGAACAAGCAAAACCUACUGUGCUCAUCCUGUACAAAUUUGUGGUAUUUGCCGACCGCCAGAGCAACACAGAAGUCAAGAAGCCCCCACACGGCGGCGGAAGGAAAAGGCUGAAGAAAAUUAAAGUCAGUUUCUCAAACUUUCAAGGAGAUAGCGGGAGGGCUUCCGUAAGGACUUGCUGGAUUCCCAAAGAAAAUUUCCGAAUGCUCUGCUCCGCUCCAGGAAGUAUGGAAAGCACCGGAUGUGCACCUGUGUGAUCACCCCCAUUUCCUAGUUGAGGAAAGUGAGGAGUGAGGAAAUCCCCUGGCUCACCACAGCUCCCAACAGCUAGUGAAAUAGGAUAAUGGGCCCUUGGCAGGCCCCCAAAAGGCGACCUCUUAAACUCUUCAAAAUUUCACCCAAAUAGGAUUCACAUUAAAAGUAAGGAAGUCGCUGCAGGCUCUCAAAGUGAUACAGACGAGACGGCUCUUGGGGCCUCAGAGGAAAGGAAGGGACACUUGUGUAUUGUUGCUCUGUGAUACUGAACUCUGAGGGCAGAACGCUAGACAGUGGUGGUAUAGGGAGCAAAGGUGGCACAUAGGCAUCCGAUUCUGGUUCUGCCUCUGACCAGACAGGUGACCCUGAACAAGCCACUUCACCCUUAGGUCUAAGUUUAUUUUUUAAGUGGAGUGUGACAUGGAGGUCAGGGUUUGGUUGAAUUACUUCAUCUCUGAGGUCUUCCCCGGGUCUGCCCUUGAAUGAAUGAGUGCAUGGUCCUCCAGACCGACAGAAUGCUGGUGGAGGAAGCUAAGUGCUAAAGCCAGGGUGUCUUGGGUAGAAGUCUGUUUUUGCACCGCCUUCAGAAUCAAAAUGAAUGUGGGGAAUGUGGCGGAGUGUUCACAGGCAAAAUACACACACACACACACACACACACACACACACACACACACACACAGAGUUAGCACUAAGCCUGCAGACUCCAUUUAAAUACUUUUACUUCUAAAAAUGAAAAAAAAAAAAGUAAUUUAGAAACCCAUGAAGUUCAU